rnacentral:rRNA from 1 species
UACAGAGGUCUCAAGCGUUGUUCGGAUUCAUUGGGCGUAAAGGGUGUGUAGGUGGCGCGCUAAGUCGGGUGUGAAAUUUCGGAGCUUAACUCCGAAACUGCAUUCGAUACUGGCGUGCUUGAGGACUGGAGAGGAGACUGGAAUUCAUGGUGUAGCAGUGAGAUGCGUAGAGAUCAUGAGGAAGACCAGUGGCGAAGGCGGGUCUCUGGACAGUUCCUGACACUGAGACGCGAAAGCGUGGGGAGCGAACAGG